GCUUCCGGCUCUGCCCCGAUGCACCUUGGGGCCUCUGGCCCGGAAAGUCGCUCAGGUGUCCGGACUUUCGGGUGUAGAACUGUGGGCGUGCGAUACUUUUUACCACGUGACGAGGACUAAAUGACAACUUAGAGGAGAAGCUUCUCACUUGCAAAAUUGUAAUGCCUUCGUGGGCUCCAGACGGUAUCCGAAAAGGUUACUUCCAAU
rnacentral:lncRNA from 1 species